CUGAUGGGGACGACGGAGCGGAGGUAGAGAUCGCGGGACAUUGAAAUAGGCUCAACGAGCUUGAGAACAUAAAUGAAGAUGUAAGCGAGGGAAGAACAGAAGGCCAUGUGGAUCAUGGUGAGUGAUAUUGGGUAGGGCCAGUUGUACAUCUUGUGAUCUAAGAUGUACUUGUUGUACAUGAUGACCGUGAAGCUCAGGAAGAUCCAUAUCGCGACGUAGGUGUAUGAUAGGAUGAUCUUCUUCACGACGCCGUCCGAGACCGCCAUUGUUGAUGGAUUGAUUGAUGGAUCUGUGGUUGUAAUUGGCUUUGUAACCCUAACCCUGAGAUUUGGGGGUUUUUGAAGAGUGAAGAGGGGUGGUGAUGUAUAAGAGAGAAAGAGUGAGAUCUCAGAUCUGGCCGAAUUUCAGGGGAUUGCCAUUCAAUGCAAUUUUUUCAAGUACAGUACAACAAUGGGGGUUCAAAACCGCCCUAAUUACAAAAACCGCCACAAAUCCAAAAGUAAAUUAUGGCAUCAACGGAAAAUGUUAGAAUAUUCAAAUAUUAUGGCGGUUCUUCAAAACUCCCAUAAUAUAAAUGCCAUUUUAACUUCUUUUUUUUGUAGUGUGCAUAUGUGAUGUAAAUGAAAGAGCAUAUAUGAAUGUGUGAAAAAAGUGAGAAUAGGAAAGUUAGGUUGCACAUUUUUGUUAUUGGAUUAAUAAAGGUUGAAUUGGAUACUUAAACUAAUCAAGGAUUCAAUCAAUUUAGUCCACUUAGCCAUAUCUAUCCCACCUUGACCCUAACCCCAUUAAAACCCUAAUAAGUCCUCAUGAUAAUUGCAUUCAUGCAUCACAUGGUUGUUGAUUGUUAGAUGAAAAGAAAAUCCUUGAAAACAUGAUUAGAAGAGACUUGUAAAGUGAAUUGACCUUAAACACCGAAUGAUUAGAGCGCAUACACUCCUAGUGAGGGUUCAAUUACUCAAUUCUAUGUUUCCACACCUCGUAUCAUGCGUUCUUGCAAGUUGCUUCAUUUUGAUGAGAUAAAUCAAUUCUUUAGAUUUUGUUUGCAUUGAAUUAUUUCUUUGCUUGGCCCUAUAUGUCUAUAUACUUGCUUGGAAUUUGAUUGUUUGUUUUCACCAAAUCAAUAGGAAACUAUAUAUAUAUAUAUAUAUAUAUAUAUAUAGUAUACCUUACAUGCAUAUAGAUAGUUGCAUUCAAUAAGUUGAUUACCCCUUUUGAUUAUUCUCCUUGUUUGGUUUAGUAUGAUGAAAUGCUAUUGUUUAAGUGUGGGAAAACUAAUGAGUCCAUAUUUUUCGAUAUAUUUCAGCUUGAUUUGAAUAGAUUUCAUCACAUAAACUCACACUUAUUCACUAAAAUAGCAUAUAUUUGUGUUUUAUCCAUAGAUUGGACCUAAAUGUGAAAACAUCCAUUUUUAUAUCUAAAUUGGUGAUUUUAAUUCCACUUUCAUGCCAUUCAAUGCCGUGAUAUAUUUUGUGAGUGAUUUCAGGUCAUUUUUGCAAGAUUGGCUAGGCAAAAGUGGAAGAAAGCAUGUACAAGGGAGAACACUUGAAGAAAACAAGGAAAAGCACACACAGACAAGUGUGCGUGCGCACAAGUACCCGUGCAUACGCACAAGAAGGAAUUUGUAGGUGUGCGUACGUACAGGUGGACUUUCAGCAAAGUGUGCAUACGCACAGGACCCUGCACAUGAUUUCAUUAAUGAAACGCGUGAUGCGCGAUUUUGGGAGCCUUUGGCCAAUUUUUGAAGGCUCAAUGCUGAAAUUGAAGUGCUAUAUGAAGGGGAUAUCAACACAUAUGAAGGCAUUAGGUUUUAUUUGGUAGCAUUAGCUAGAAUUAGGACUUAGACAUAAUUUUCCAUAGUUUUACAUAGUAGGAGUAGGAGUAGUGUAGAUUAGGGAGAGCUCUCUUAGGAUUUUUAAUUAGGGUUCAUUGUAGCAUUUUAUAGCAAGUUUUGAUUUUGGAUUUUGCUCAUCUUUUGUAAGUACUCUCAAUUUCCUCUUUAAUUUUACUACUUUUGCUUUUAUGUUCUUAUGGUUCAAGUUACUUUGUUUAUAUAUGCAAUUUUGGUAUCUUGAAGUUUUGAUUGAUGAAUUUAAUGUUUUAUACCUUAUAUAUGCUUGAUUGCAUGUUUAUAGUUGGUCUUAUGAAUAUUUUGGUUAUAGAUUUUAUUUUUCUUUGCAAUUUCCUAUGUCUUGGUUUUAUGCCCACAAGCUGUUUGUGAAAAUGCCAAUUAUGAGUUUUGAGUAGAUUUUCACACCUUGGCUUGGGAUUUGAGUUCCUAGGAUACUAGAGUCAUAAUGUUCGACAUUUAGUGGCAAUUCUUGGGUAGUUAGUUGACUCUUGUUUUUAUUGACGCUAGCUUUUUACUAACUAGUUUGGUAAGUUAACUAGGACUUAUGGAUUAAGGUCAAUUAUGCUUGCUUGACCUACUCCUCGAUGUUAGGGUUAACUAAGCGAGAUUGACUCAUCAUAGUUGCCAUAGUUGUGGUUAUGGCGAUGAUAGGAUUCCUUGGAUCCUCAUUCCCAAGUCAAGGCUCUUUUUAUGCAUUCCUAGCAUUUUCACUAAGUUUUUAUCUUGUUUCCUUUUUAAUUGCAUUAAUUAUCAAUUUUGAUCAUUCUUUAGUCCUUUCAUUUCUUAGUUCUUUUAAUCUUUUGUUCUUUGAUUACAAAACCCCUUUUCCCUCACAACCGAAAGUGCAACACUUCGAUUGCAUCCUAGGGAGAACGACCCGAGGUUUAAUUACUCUCGGUUAUUUUAAUUUGAAUUUGACAUUUGAUUAAGAGAAUUCAUUGUUGGUUUGGACUAUGCUACUAACGAAUUGAUUCUUAUUUUGAUUGAUUCUAAAUCGACAAUAAUUCUCUCUUAUCACUCCCACAACGAUAGCACAGUCCUAUCUUAGUUUGGCAUGGCUAGUCUGGAUGGUAUCUCCCGCAUCUUUGGCACUCCAAAUCUUCUGAAGUAGCCUUUGCCCACUUUUCUUUACCAUUUCCCGUGGGGUUGUCAUUUUUUCGGUAAUUGUUCCAACCUUGGGAAGGCUGAGGUGGACACCCACUCCUUUUGAAGUCUAUUCCUCUCAGCGCAAAACUCUUUGUCUAGAUCCUUUCUAUGGGACUCCCUGUGGUCACUCCUCGCUAUAUCAGUUUUCUUGCAACACUCUUCCACCACUCGACUAUUGUUAACUAACUCCGCAAACUCUUAACCUCAAGAGGCGCCACAACUCGCAUGAUAUCAUCCCUCAAACCAUCUUGGUACUUCAUACACUUUCACCCCUCAUAUUCUUCAGGAGCACCCUAACAAACCUGUGAGAAAUGACACAACUCUUCAAAUUUGCUCGUAUAAGCAGCCACCAACAUUGAUCCUUGUUUAAUUGUAGUAGCUCUAAUUCCUUAGCCUGUCUUGCAGAGUUUGAGAAGUAUUUCUUGUAAAACUCCCCUUUGAACAUCUACCAGGUAAUCACCUCAUCUCUAUUCCUUUGCUGUAGCAGUCGGUAAGCUCCUUGCCACCAGUGUUGCGCUUCUCCACUUAACUGAUAUGCAGCGAAUUCCACCAACUGACUCUCAGGUACAUGUUGCGCUUGCAUUGCCAUUUUCUAUCGCCUGGAACCAAUUAUUGGUUUUCGUCGCAUCAUUUGAACCCUUGAUAUUGGGGAUUGACCUUCAAAAAGGAUGCCAAAGUUAUCGGACCUCCAUUAGCUUAGUUCCCCUCAAGUCCGUUACCGUUCCCGUUCAUUCAUUCCAUAACUUGGUUUGUAGCCGUAGUAUUUACGCACAUCGGAUUCAUAAAAGUGAUAGAGGGAAAUCGUCGGUUAAAAAUUUUCACAAAAUAAUUCCAUUUCAAGUAUAGUUCCAAACCAAUAGACAACCUUUAAUCAAAGUUUAAUUUGUUUAUCACAAGUACAAACCCAAUAAAAACCGAGAGUAUUUAAACCUCAGGUCAUCUCUCAAGAAAUUGCAGGGAAGUGUGCAUGUUAUUGGUUAUGGGUGUAUAUUUUUUGGGUUUUGGGUUUGAUAACAAGAAAUUAAAACUAACAACUAAGAAAAGUCUUGGCAAGGAAUGAGAAUUGAAAUUCCUAUCCUCAUUAUCAUCCUCAAUUAUGAUGGUAAUUGUCUUUUGCUCUCACUUAAUUAACCUCUAACAAUUGAAGGAAAGUCAAGUGAGCAAAAUUGACUCUAAUCCAAAAGUCCUAAUCAAAGAUUAGUUUUAGUAGAAUUCAAGCCAACAAGAAAUCUUCAAUCACCAAUCAACAAAAGAGUUUGAUAACUCAAGAGUCUCUAAUCACUCAACCCAAGCCAAGAGCACAAAAUUCUACACUAAAAUCCAACCAAGUAUUCUAUCAAACACUUGGAAGGCAUAAAAUGAAAGCAUAGUAAAAUAGCAAGAAAUAAUAAAUUCUAUGACUACCAAAUGCAAGAAAACAAUAAUAAGAACUCAAUUAAAGAAUGUUACUAAAUCAAAACAAGCAAUAAAACCUAAAUCUAAGAGAAAUCUAACCUAAUUCUACCAUAAUUCUAGAGAGAAGAAAGAGAUUCUCUCUAAAAUAUGACCUAAAGAAUGUUACUAAACUAUCCUAAUUUCUGUCCCCUUCAUCCUUCUUGAUUUUGGCCUCAAAUAGCUUCAGAAUUGAGUUGGAUUGGGCUUUAGCAGCUGCAGAAUUUGCCCCUAGCGUGCUUUAUUAAGUUGGUCACGUGCUGCUUGUCACGCGUACGCGUGACGAAUAGCAGAUUUCUAAAACUUCAUUUCUUCAUGAAUUCUCCACUUUGCAUUUUUUUCUUCAUUCCUUCAAUCCAAUCCUUGCUUUAUAAACCUGGAAUCACUUAAUAAACAUAUCAAGGAAUCAAAUGGGAUUAAAGUGAAUUAAAUUUGGCAAAUUAAGGGCCUAAAAAGCAUAUUUUUACUCUUAAGCACAAUUUAGGGAGAAUUUACAAAAUUAUGCUAUUUUAGUGAAUAAAUAUGAAAAAAGUUGAUAAAAUCCACUAAAUUCAAUACAAGAUAAACCACAAAAUUGGGGUUUAUCAAAGAGAAGUCAUAGUAGCCAAGAGCAUGGCUUGGUUAUCCCCCGAUGUACCUUCUUCAUUUUCUCUCCAUAUUCAGGUUUGACCACGUGCACGAGUCAUCAUUCGGGUCAUGUCCACACCAAACAAGCGAUAUUAAGAUGAUCAGUCUCAAUAUCUCAAGUUAAGUGCUUCGAAUUCUCAAAAGUAUACUCAUAAUCAGAGUAUGCAUUGAAGCAUAAGCAGUCCAUCCCUCAGGCUCACGAGGACGAACUGCUCUGAUACCAUAAUAUAACACCCUAAUAUUCAAAUCCUUAUGCUCGAGUCAUAACUUAAUGAUAAUAAGGUGGUACGACUCUCAAGGUGGAUUAUAAUACAUACAUACAUAUAUAUAUAUAUAUAUAUAUAUAUAUAUAUAUAUAUAUAUAAGUUGAAAGGAAAAAUUAAACGAGAAGCCUGAAAAGGAGUAAAAUAAAAUCACAAACAGAAACUCUCACGUAUCGAUAAAACAGAAGAUAAAGCACACAUUUAAACGAAGGUAAAGAUAAGUAGUAAGGAAGGAUAUGAUAAGGAUAGGAUAUAAACAUAUAACAUAAGUAAAUAGCCACUAGCCACGACCCGCAAAGUUUAGGCCGGCUAGGGUUACAGGAGUAAAAGCAGUUGACAACAGAAUUUCCUAUAAGUUGAAAGAAAA
rnacentral:lncRNA from 1 species